rnacentral:rRNA from 1 species
CAGUAGCCACGGUAAUACGGAGGGCGCGAGCGUUACCCGGAUUUACUGGGCGUAAAGGGCGUGUAGGCGGCCUGGGGCGUCCCAUGUGAAAGGCCACGGCUCAACCGUGGAGGAGCGUGGGAUACGCUCAGGCUAGAGGGUGGGAGAGGGUGGUGGAAUUCCCGGAGUAGCGGUGAAAUGCGCAGAUACCGGGAGGAACGCCGAUGGCGAAGGCAGCCACCUGGUCCACUUCUGACGCUGAGGCGCGAAAGCGUGGAGAGCAAACCGGAUUAGAUACCCGCGUAGUCCCUGUCUCUUAUAC